CGGAUUAGUGGCGAACGGGUGAGUAAUACGUGAGUAACCUGCCUUUGACUCUGGGAUAAGCCUGGGAAACUGGGUCUAAUACUGGAUACUACCUCUUACCGCAUGGUGGGUGGUGGAAAGGGUUUUACUGGUUUUGGAUGGGCUCACGGCCUAUCAGCUUGUUGGUGGGGUAAUGGCUCACCAAGGCGACGACGGGUAGCCGGCCUGAGAGGGUGACCGGCCACACUGGGACUGAGACACGGCCCAGACUCCUACGGGAGGCAGCAGUGGGGAAUAUUGCACAAUGGGCGGAAGCCUGAUGCAGCGACGCCGCGUGAGGGAUGACGGCCUUCGGGUUGUAAACCUCUUUCAGUAGGGAAGAAGCGAGAGUGACGGUACCUGCAGAAGAAGCGCCGGCUAACUACGUGCCAGCAGCCGCGGUAAUACGUAGGGCGCAAGCGUUGUCCGGAAUUAUUGGGCGUAAAGAGCUCGUAGGCGGUUUGUCGCGUCUGCUGUGAAAGCCCGGGGCUCAACCCCGGGUCUGCAGUGGGUACGGGCAGACUAGAGUGCAGUAGGGGAGACUGGAAUUCCUGGUGUAGCGGUGAAAUGCGCAGAUAUCAGGAGGAACACCGAUGGCGAAGGCAGGUCUCUGGGCUGUUACUGACGCUGAGGAGCGAAAGCAUGGGGAGCGAACAGGAUUAGAUACCCUGGUAGUCCAUGCCGUAAACGUUGGGCACUAGGUGUGGGGGACAUUCCACGUUUUCCGCGCCGUAGCUAACGCAUUAAGUGCCCCGCCUGGGGAGUACGGCCGCAAGGCUAAAACUCAAAGGAAUUGACGGGGGCCCGCACAAGCGGCGGAGCAUGCGGAUUAAUUCGAUGCAACGCGAAGAACCUUACCAAGGCUUGACAUUCACCGGACCGCCCCAGAGAUGGGGUUUCCCUUCGGGGCUGGUGGACAGGUGGUGCAUGGUUGUCGUCAGCUCGUGUCGUGAGAUGUUGGGUUAAGUCCCGCAACGAGCGCAACCCUCGUUCUAUGUUGCCAGCACGUGAUGGUGGGGACUCAUAGGAGACUGCCGGGGUCAACUCGGAGGAAGGUGGGGAUGACGUCAAAUCAUCAUGCCCCUUAUGUCUUGGGCUUCACGCAUGCUACAAUGGCCGGUACAAAGGGUUGCGAUACUGUGAGGUGGAGCUAAUCCCAAAAAGCCGGUCUCAGUUCGGAUUGAGGUCUGCAACUCGACCUCAUGAAGUCGGAGUCGCUAGUAAUCGCAGAUCAGCAACGCUGCGGUGAAUACGUUCCCGGGCCUUGUACACACCGCCCGUCAAGUCACGAAAGUUGGUAACACCCGAAGCCGGUGRCCUAACCCCUUGUGGGAGGGAGCCGUCGAAGGUGGGACUGGCGAUUGGGACUAAGUCGUAACAAG
rnacentral:rRNA from 1 species